UUUGGUUUCGGUAGACGACGAGCAGCUCCUCCAAAGAACUGCCUCAUCUCAGGAGAGGACUCAGAACCAGGACCCACCAACACUAUCGGAAUAAAAAGAACCACACGAGGGGAAGAGGAGGAGGUUUUGCGCUCAGGACCGGAGCAGCCGGUCCAGCGGUCCAGCGCUCUGCUCUGUCCUGCGGUCAUGUUUGGAACCAGAAAGACCUGGGACCUCGGCGACGCCCCCUGCCUUCAGGAGCUCUGGAAGAAAGACCUCUCAUUGGACGCCAGCUCAGUGGACUUCUUGAUGAGUGAUGGUGAGGACGAGGGUUCCUUCCUAUCUCUUCCCGCCUCCGCCUUCUCCCAGCGUCCCUCUCUGACCCCCGAAUUCUCUGAGGCCCACCUACCCGGCCAGCAGCUCCUCAUCCAGACCCUGCAGGAAAAGGUGUGUGAGAUCCAGGCCCGGCUGCACAGCGAGGAGCGCGCCCGCCAGCUCCAGCUGCAGAGGCUGCAGCAGAGUCACGAGCAGAGCGUUCUGGAGAACACCAGCAUUAUCCGCACACUGCAGGAGGAGCUGCUCUCCUCCCAGACCAGUGCACCGGCUGAACCACAGGAAGAGAGGCAGCCGCAGAAACCCACAGAGACCCAGCCCAGUGGGCCGGAGAGAGAGCAGCUCAUAGCUCAGCUGCACACACAG
ensembl:lncRNA